GGAAUAUUUUUUUUUUUAAAAGAUGCAAGUUCAUAAGUAAGAUAAAUACUGUUUGUAAUUUUAUGAUUGAAAAAGAUUUAAAAUACUAUUUACAUAUGUACAUUUCAUUGAUAUGUAUGAAUAAGAUAGGACUUUUAUUGUGACAUUUAAAAACCCACCAGUGGGGUGACUUAGUUUGGCUGCCAUGGGAGCGGGGUCAGUAGGAAUCAGAAAGGAGAUUGGAGCGCAAUAGUUUUUUGACCUCUCUUCUCAGGCUCUCUCCAUUUGACUUUGAAAGCCUUGUAAUCGUGGAUAUCUUUUCAGUUUUUGUAAUGUUGUUUAAGUUUUUCAAGUAAACAGUUAAAAUCAAGAAGUGGAUUUAUUUUUGGAGUGUUUUUGAUACAAGGGAGUCUGACGAGUGUCAAGCUAAAGCUUCAAUAGGAACAAUAAGAA